CACGUAGGGGGCGAGCGUUGUCCGGAUUUAUUGGGCGUAAAGAGCUCGUAGGCGGUUCGGUAAGUCGGGUGUGAAAACUCUGGGCUCAACUCAGAGACGCCACCCGAUACUGCUGUGACUUGAGUCCGGUAGGGGAGUGUGGAAUUCCCGGUGUAGCGGUGAAAUGCGCAGAUAUCGGGAGGAACACCAGUGGCGAAGGCGGCACUCUGGGCCGGAACUGACGCUGAGGAGCGAAAGCGUGGGUAGCGAACAGG
rnacentral:rRNA from 1 species